AAAACACUUUAGCUUACUGAAACGUUUUAUAUUUGAAGAGUGUUUCCUAUUUUUGUUUUCCUAUUUGCAAAAAGUGCAGAUUUCAAUAGAAAUUUACAUUUUUAUAAAUUAACUUUGUAACACCCACCAGCUGCCAAUCUGACAACCGUUUAGUUACUUCCUGGUUCGAUUAGCUCAGUGAGGCAGCAAUUGCCCAGAGCAGUUGCUUCG